ACAGUCAACCUAUUGUACACUAUUCAAAACAAACACCUGUUUCACCUUGUAAUUUAUGUCAUUAUUAAUAUCAUGUUGUAUAUUUUUUUAAUGUAGGAAUAAGUUUUGCACUUAUUUAUGCAUAAAAAAUAAAAUAGAUGUUUUACUCUCAAUUGCCCUUUUCAAAGGACUGUGUAUUCUAAUUUCUGAGAGUUUACUAUAAAUAAAGCCUUCGAAGCUAUCUGCCAUGCUCCGAAGGCUCCCAAAUUUCUCUUGGUCAAUUGGAUAGCUACUCAUGUGCAUUGGAUCAAGUGUAACAUUGAUGGAUCUUCAAGAGGUUCCCGCGGUUUAAUCUAUUCUUUAGUGCAUGUAUUUUUAGAGACUUUUCUAGCUGUUUUUUAGGUGCUUUUGUCCAGAACAUAGGUAUGUCCAUGACUCUUUUGAUGAUUCAAGCCUUCUUAAAUUCCAAAUUUGUGCCUUGGAUGCUUAGGAUCAUUGGUUCAAUUUUCUACAUUUCAUUAAAGGAUUACAUUUUAGAGUGGCUCAUAUCUUUAGAGAAGGGAUUACUCAUGUUGAUUGUUUUGUCAAUGAAAUUUUUGGAAUAGAUUACUUUCUUUGGUGGAAUUAGUUCCCUCUUAUAUUCAACAAGAUCUUUCUAAAAUAGAUUGGACAUUCCAACUUCUAUUUCAUUAGUUAUUUUUUGCCUAUCCCAAACCACACAUUUUUUUCUUUUAUCAAAUUUUAUUAUGGUAAAGUUUUAAUAAGGUAUUUUUUAUCACUAAAAAAAUCAUAAUUCAUGAAUAAUAGAUGCAUGCAUGUCCUGUUUGUUAUAUUUCGUACCACAUUUGUAUAUAUUUAAAAAGAUUUUCAACGUUCAACAAUAAUCUGUUUUCUUCAAAGCCAGCCAUUGACCGUUCCAUAUAUACCCUUGUGGACAUAUAUAUAUAUUUAAAAAGAUUUUCAACGUUCAACAAUAAUCUGUUUUCUUCAAAGCCAGCCAUUGACCGUUUCAUAUAUACCCUUGGGGACACGCAAGCAAACACAAACAAAUAAACAAUCAUAUAAAUAUAUAAUAAAUUUUAGCAUUGUAUCCAUAUGUAUAACGCUAGCUUUCACUUUCACAUACUAACCAAUAUCUCCCUUACCUUCAAGAAUCAUGCAAAAGAGACACCAGAGCAGUAUCAAUAUCAUUGGCCCUCAGUAUCGCAUACCACAUUUUGUAGACCUAAGCGAUUGUGAGAAAGGUGACGACAUUAACUGAUAACUUCACAGUCACAGACAUUAAUGGUCACCGUCUCUUACUUGACGCCGCUCUAUGAUCACCGUCACAAACUGAUAACUUCGCUCUAUGAUCACCGUCUCUUACUUGACGCCGCCGGAAAACCGUCGUCUUGACACUACAACGAAAGGUAAAGACUCGACAUGAUCGAUGGGAUGGGAAGCAUUUCGAGUGUAUGAUGUUGGGGGAGUGAUGAUUACCAUGGAUUCUAUACGAAGUGGCAAUAGCAUCAUGGAACAUGGUUGCAGCAAUUAAGUGCUCACAUUUAUUCUUGGUAUGAAAGAUUCAAUGAAUAAAUAAAAUGGUUAUUCAUCUGCUUCAAAAGGCUUAUAUGGAACACAAUGCAUUGGCGUGUAUGGAUAAAUAAAACAAAAAUUAAAUAUGCUACUUCAUAUGUCUCUCUUUUUAUUUUUUGCAACUCAUAUUUCUCUUUUUUCUAGUACUCUAUCUUUAUGGCUUAUAUUAUAUCAUAUUUUUUGUCAAAAUA